AUGUUUGACAAUCCUACUGAUGUGUGGAACCUAUUAGAUGGAACCUACAGAGAAACCAGGCGUGGCCAGUCCACUGUAAAGGGAACAGGAUUAGACAGAAGGAACCUACAGAGAAACCAGGCGUGGCCAGUCCACUGUAAAGGGAACAGGAUUAGGUUAGACAGAAGGAACCUACAGAGAAACCAGGCGUGGCCAGUCCACUGUAAAGGGAAGACAGAAGGAACCGACAGAGAAUAAGAUGAUUUGAAUAAACGGAUGAACAGGAGUUUUGUACUGUGAAGUAGCUACUAGUAGCAUGCCGACACAGUCUCCCUCCCUCCAAGCACGGCAGAUUUGUUGUGUGUCCCAAUAAUAUUUUUUCUCUCAGUGUCUAAUUGUUCACUUCUCUUGACUGACUGGUAUAACAAUAAGGUGGAAACCCUCCAAUGCUUUUAGGUUUGUGGGAAGACCAAUCCAAUGCUUUUAGGUUUGUGGGAAGACCAAUCCAAUGCUUUUAGGUUUGUGGGAAGACCAAUCCAAUGCUUCUAGGUUUGUGGGAAGACCAAUCCAAUGCUUUUAGGUUUGUGGGAAGACCAAUCCAAUGCUUUUAGGUUUGUGGGAAGACCAAUCCAAUGCUUUUAGGUUUGUGGGAAGACCAAUCCAGUGCUUUUAGGUUUGUGGGAAGACCAAUCCAAUGCUUUUAGGUUUGUGGGAAGACCAAUCCAAUGCUUUUAGGUUUGUGGGAAUUAGUGAACAAGUUUACACUUCAGGAGACAGGAGAGAUUAUUGGAACGCACCCUUGGUAUGUUGUUGCUGACAAAGUGUUGCUUAUCUGGCUAGGUGAUCUGAGACUGGCGUUGGGAUGAGUUACAAGCAGCACAGUCAAGGUGAAGCUAUGAAAGAAUAAUGUGAUAUUGAGAAGGCAGAGGGAGAGGAGACACCACAGUACAUGGUUGUAAGAGCAGACUUGGAUCUAUAGGCAAGGCCUUCAUCUACAGUAAACAGGGUUGUUAUGAACUCAGAAGGACUUGCUGUAUGUAAACACAUAUUCGCCUAUCAGGGUAGGCCUCUUUUUAGUUUUGCUUUAGGAGCACCUAUCAGGUUAGUUUUACUUUAGGAGCACCUAUCAGGGUAGGCCUCUUUUAGUUUUACUUUAGGAGCACCUAUCAGGUUAGUUUUACUUUAGGAGCACCUAUCAGGUUAGUUUUACUUUAGGAGCACCUAUCAGGGUAGGCCUCUUUUAGUUUUACUUUAGGAGCACCUAUCAGGUUAGUUUNNNNNNNNNNAAUAAGAUGAUUUGAAUAAACGGAUGAACAGGAGUUUUGUACUGUGAAGUAGCUACUAGUAGCAUGCCGACACAGUCUCCCUCCCUCCAAGCACGGCAGAUUUGUUGUGUGUCCCAAUAAUAUUUUUUCUCUCAGUGUCUAAUUGUUCACUUCUCUUGACUGACUGGUAUAACAAUAAGGUGGAAACCCUCCAAUGCUUUUAGGUUUGUGGGAAGACCAAUCCAAUGCUUUUAGGUUUGUGGGAAGACCAAUCC
rnacentral:lncRNA from 13 species